rnacentral:rRNA from 1 species
GUGCCAGCCGCCGCGGUAAUACCCGCAGCUCAAGUGGUGGUCAUUAUUAUUGGGCCUAAAGCGUCCGUAGCAGGCUUGUUAGAUGCCUGGGUAAAUCGAUGCGCUUAACGCAUCGAAUUCCGGGUAGACCGGCAAGCUCGAGACCGGGAGAGGCGUGAGCUACUCAAGGGGUAGGGGUAAAAUCCUGUAAUCCUUUGGGGAGGACCAGUGGCGAAGGCGUCACGCUAGAACGGCUCUGACUGUGAGGGACGAAGCCCUGGGGCGCAAACCGGAUUAGAUACCCCUGUAGUCC